rnacentral:rRNA from 1 species
UACGAAGGGAGCUAGCGUUACUCGGAAUUACUGGGCGUAAAGCGUGCGCAGGCUGUUUUAUAAGUUAGAAGUGAAAGCCUGGAGCUCAACUCCAGAAUUGCUUUUAAAACUGUAAGACUAGAGGGUCAGAGGGGAUAGCGGAAUUCCUAGUGUAGAGGUGAAAUUCGUAGAUAUUAGGAGGAACACCGGUGGCGAAAGCGGCUAUCUGGCUGACAACUGACGCUGUUGCACGAAAGCGUGGGGAGCAAACAGG